CUGUGUGCCGUGCCUAACCUAGAAAGGUAGUCAUCUCUUAGACUUACUGGUAGUGACUACCAGCCUGGGUUGAGCAAGGCUCACCGA
rfam:Ailuropoda melanoleuca scaffold2028_48, whole genome shotgun sequence.